GACAGAGGGUGCAAACGUUGCUCGGAAUUACUGGGCGUAAAGCGCACGUAGGUGGCGACGUAAGUCGGGUGUGAAAGCCCCGGGCUCAACCUGGGAAUUGCAUUCGAGACUGCAUUGCUGGAGUACGGAAGAGGAAGGCGGAAUUCCCGGUGUAGCGGUGAAAUGCGUAGAUAUCGGGAGGAACAUCAGUGGCGAAGGCGGCCUUCUGGUCCAGUACUGACACUCAAGUGCGAAAGCGUGGGGAGCAAACAGG
rnacentral:rRNA from 1 species